CUGCAAUCAGUGAUGAAAUUAUGUCAAAUUCAAUGAUUAUACAAUGAUUAUUAUAAUCACUAGAUCACCAUCUUUCGGCUGAGAUUGCAG
rnacentral:snoRNA from 1 species